rnacentral:rRNA from 1 species
CCCUUAGAUGUCCUGGGCUGCACGCGCGCUACACUGGAAGUUACGGAUUGAGAUACUACCUUGUCCGAAAUGGUCCGGGUAAUCACCUAAAAGCUUGUCAUAAUUGGAAUGGAUUAUUGUAACUAGUAAUCCUGAACGAGGAAUUCCUAGUAAGUCCCAGUCAACAGCUGGUACUGAUUACGUCCCUGCCCUUUGUACACACCGCCCGUCGCUACUACUGAUUGGACGUUUAAGCAAGAUUUUUAAACACUGACAGUGUGUAGUUCACGCUAUACUACAGUGAGUAGAAGAAGAUCGAGCUUACUUGUCUAGAGGAAGUAAAAGUCGUAACA